AAUGAACGCUGGCGGCAGGCCUAACACAUGCAAGUCGAACGGAUCCUUCGGGAUUAGUGGCGGACGGGUGAGUAACGCGUGGGAACAUACCCAAAGGUACGGAAUAGCCUCGGGAAACUGGGAGUAAUACCGUAUGUGCUCGAAAGAGGAAAGAUUUAUCGCCUUUGGAUUGGCCCGCGUUGGAUUAGGUAGUUUGUGGGGUAAUGGCCUACCAAGCCGACGAUCCAUAGCUGGUUUGAGAGGAUGAUCAGCCACCCUGGGACUGCGACACGGCCCAGACUCCUACGGGGGGGAGCAGUGGGGAAUCUUAGACAAGGGGGGAAACCCUGAUCUAGCCAUGCCGCGUGAUCGAUGAAGGCCUUAGGGUUGUAAAGAUCUUUCAGGUGGGAAGAUAAUGACUGUACCACCAGAAGAAGCCCCGGCUAACUCCGUGCCAGCCGCCGCUGUAA
rnacentral:rRNA from 1 species